CUGUCAUAUCCUGUUUUGGUAUGUGUUGAUCUGUUGCUUUGUAAUCUUUUAUAAUCCACUUUAUAUUUUUACUCUCAAUAUGAUUAAUGUUUCUCUGUACGACUGCUAACGAAAACUAGCUGUCAUAUCCUGUUUUGGUAUGUGUUGAUCUGUCGUUUUGUAAUCUUUUAUAAUCCACUUUAUAUUUUUACUCUCAAUAUGAUUAAUGUUUCUCUGUACGACUGCUAACGAAAACUAGCUGUCAUAUCCUGUUUUGGUAUGUGUUGAUCUGUUGCUUUGUAAUCUUUUAUAAUCCACUUUAUAUUUUUACUCUCAAUAUGAUUAAUGUUUUUCUGUAUGACUGCUAAAAACGGCCUUCAUGUCAUAUUUCGUUUCAGUAUGUGUUGAUCUGUCGUUUUGUGAUGUUUUAUAAUCCACUUUAUAUUUUUACUCUCAAUAUGAUUAAUGUUUUUCUGUAUGACUGCUAAAAACAGCUUUCAUGUCAUAUUUUGUGUCAGUAUGUGUUUAUAUGUCGGUUAUUCUUAUAUUUUUAACCGUUUGUCUGUAUUCUUGACUUAAGGCCGCUAUCAAGGUCACUUUGUUUUGAUCGUUACUAAUGUCUGCGAUCAACACUAUAGUUUUCCACGUGAAACUGGCCUAUGGGGUUGUGGCAGCUGCAGAGGAAGCGAGGUGUUGAGAGUGUGUGGCAAGGCGCGGGGCUAGGCUAACCCCACAGCCGCCACACCCCAUCGAGCAGUUUUACGUGGAAAUACUAUUGCAGCGAUCGCCGCCAUUGGUAACGAUCAAAACAAACAUAAUGACUGUGAAAGCGGCCCUUAGUCACGCUUAUGUUUGUUUGUUUAGAUUUUAAUUGUAGCGCGGGGCAUGAAAAUUUAUUAGGUUUUUAUCUAAAGACUAUCGGCAAAAUUUUUAAACAUCAUAUUAGUAGUCAUUAAUUAAAGUGGCUAGCUGGCCUUUUUAAUUCUAUUCUUAUGAUGGAGUCAGAAGUGUUGGAUUUUCAGUUAUUAUACUUUUUUUUUUCUAUGUAUCUAUGGACGGACUGUCAGAAAUGAUGGAUUUUCACAGAGGUGAGUUGACAUUUUACAAACUCAGGUAUAAAAAGUACCAUAAAACAAUCAAUAAAACCAACUAACCUUGCCUUGAAAUACGGGUAAAAAAAAGGACAUAUCAGCCACAUUAGUGUUAAGAAAGGCUAAUAUGAUGUUUAAAACCUUCAGGCGUAUUGUUAACCAAGAGCAUCAUUGCCGUAAGUUUACUCCCAUUUUUGACCAGCUGGGAAGUGAGGUGACUUGUAAGUAUUAACCCAGUAGCAGCGGGGAUCAUGGUUCUUUAUGGUCCCUCUAAGCGAGAAAAAUGAGAAAAAAAUCACCCCUCACACAAACCAUUUCAUAAUACAUAUCGAAGCAUUUGUGAUCAGUUUAUGUAUCACACAAAUCAUUUCAUAAUACACAUUGAAGCAUUUGUGAUCAGUUUAUGUAUCAUCUUUUUUGGGGGUUUAUAUCAUGGCACAAAUUUGGCCCAUCGCUGCUACACGGUAAAGCCACAAAUUUGGCCCGUCGCUGCUACAGGGUUAAUGUUCAUGUCUUGUCACAAACUUCACUGUAAAUAUUGUAAUGUAAUCUUCGUCUCCCUUGUUGUUGGUGAGGUGUUGAGGUGAGGCAGGUGGUGUACAGCUCAGCAAUGAUUUAAUAGUACAUAUACUGUUUCUGAUUCUUGUGUUUUAAUGUGUCCUUUCUUCAUUCUGGCACCAAUAAUCAGUUUCCGAGUUGCUGUCUUGCCUUAGAACAUCAUGCCAAAUCCGUGCCAAUCGCAGCGGACGGGUUAAUGUUCUACCUAUAGCACCGGAAGGCUCUCUUGGACAACCCCAGCCUGUUGUGGUGCUGGCGAAUUUUAUUUAUAGUGACUGUCGUGUUGUAUGACUCUUGUAGGUAAAGAUAUUAAUUCAUGCUCCUCAAUCAUCAGAUAUAGUUUAUUACAUGUUCCUCAGGCUGGGAAUGUAGUAUAGUAGUCUAUCUAUGUACAAAACAUAUACCUAUGCGCUGUACUUAUAACUAUGCUGUCAACUCUUGCCUCGCAAUUUCAGUUAAUGCUACCCUCACACGUAACCCUUUUAUUUCAUCAUGGCUGUCGUUGGUGACCCUGACUCCCGUGAAGGUAAGUUAAGGGGAGGAAGCUAACGACCCUGAAACCAUCUUGGAAGGUACGAAAGGAAGGGAGGACAUCAGUAAAGGCUGUGUAACCAUUUUGAAAGGAACUAAAGGAAGGGUCAUGGCUGUUGUUGGCGACCCUGAAGGUUGUAUUUUAAAACAUUUCGUUGCCCAAGUUCACAUAUUUGACAUGGCUUUCGUAGGAGCUGUAGGCCUUUCCAGGGGUAGCUUUAUGACCCUGGUGGUAGUUUGACCCUUCUUCUGUGCCAUGAACCUUAAAAAGCACUCAUGAAAACUCGAUUGAUCCCCUCUUUGACCUUUAGAAAUAGUUGAUGUGAGAAGCGAUGGUGUCUUAAAAUACGGCCGUGACUCCCAUGAAGGUAAGUUAAUGGGAGGAAGAUUAAGGCCAUGAGACCGUUUUAUAAGGAAUGAAAGGAAGGGAGAACACUUGUAAAAGCUGUGUAACCAUUCUGAAAGGAGCUAAAGGAUGGGGCAACAAUAGUAUAAGCCGUGUCACCAUUUUAAAACUUGUGAAAUAUAAAGAAAACCUAACCUCUGAGUCACCUGUCCUAACCUUAACGAGAUGAGAGACAGGUAUUACGUGUGUUACAAAAAGGUAUCCGAAUUUUGACUAUAAAUACUACGAAAUCAAACUUAAGAUGAAAGAUAGGAAUAACGAAACCUCUAAAUCACCUGUCCGAAUAUUAGCGAGCUCUGAGAUAUGUGUUACAGGUGCUAAAAUGAGGUAACGGAACUGAAUUUCAACUAUGAACAUUAUAAAGUCAAACUGAACAUAAAAGAUAAAGGUAAUAUAGCUUGACUCACCUGUCCUAACCUUAAUGAGCACUGAGACAGGUGUA